rnacentral:rRNA from 1 species
GACGAACGCUGGCGGCGUGCUUAACACAUGCAAGUCGAACGGAAAGGCCCUGCUUUUGUGGGGUGCUCGAGUGGCGAACGUGUGAGUAACACGUGAGUAACCUGCCCUUUACUUUGUUAUAACUUCAGGAAACUGGUGCUAAUACCUUAUAGUAUCUCCUGCUGCAUGGUGGUGGUUGGAAAUUUUCGGCGUUUGGGGAUGGACUCGCGGGUUAUCAGCUUGUUGUUGGGGUAGUGGCUUACCAAGGCUUUGACGGGUAGCCGGCAUGAGAGGGUGACCGGCGACAAUGGGACUGAGAUACGGCGCAGAAUCCAACGGGAGGCAGCAGUGGGAAAUAUUGCACAAUGGGCGGAAGCCUGAUGCAGAAACGCCGCGUGCGGGAUGACGGCCUUCGGGUUGUAAACAGCUUUCGACUGUGACGAAGAGUGAGUGACGGUAAUGGGUAAAGAAGCACCGGCUAACUACGUG